rnacentral:rRNA from 1 species
GACGAACGCUGGCGGCGUGCUUAACACAUGCAAGUCGAACGGAAAGGCCCUGCUUUUGUGGGGUGCUCGAGUGGCGAACGGGUGAGUAACACGUGAGUAACCUGCCCUUGACUUUGGGAUAACUUCAGGAAACUGGGGCUAAUACCGGAUAGGAGCUCCUGCUGCAUGGUGGGGGUUGGAAAGUUUCGGCGGUUGGGGAUGGACUCGCGGCUUAUCAGCUUGUUGGUGGGGUAGUGGCUUACCAAGGCUUUGACGGGUAGCCGGCCUGAGAGGGUGACCACCACAUUGGGACUGAGAUACGGCCCAGACUCCUACGGGAGGCAGAAGUGGGGAAUAUUGCACAAUGGGCGGAAGCCUGAUGCAGCAACGCCGCGUGCGGGAUGACGGCCUUCGGGUUGUAAACCGCUUUCGCCUGUGACGAAGCGUGAGUGACGGUAAUGGGUAAAGAAGCACCGGCUAACUACGUG